rnacentral:rRNA from 1 species
AGAGCGUACGGUGGAUGCCUUGGCACCAGGAGCCGAUGAAGGACGUAGGAGGCUGCGAUAAGCCUCGGGGAGCUGUCAACCGAGCUGAGAUCCGAGGAUGUCCGAAUGGGGAAACCCAGCCACAGUGAUGUGUGGUUACCCGCGCCUGAAUAUAUAGGGCGUGUGGAGGGAACGUGGGGAAGUGAAACAUCUCAGUACCCACAGGAAGAGAAAACAACAUGUGAUUCCGUGAGUAGUGGCGAGCGAAAGCGGAAGAGGCUAAACCAUGGGUGUGUGAUAGCCGGCGGGCGUUGCAUUCGUGGGGUUGUGGGAUCCGUCUUGUCAAUUCUGCCGGAUUGGCCGACAGUGAGAAAUCAUCGUGUUAGUCGAAGUGGUCUGGAACGGCCUGUCGUAGAGGGUGAGAGUCCCGUAGACGAAAACAUGGUGACUGUCGUGACGGACACCCGAGUAGCAGCGGGCCCGUGAAAUCUGCUGUGAAUCUGUCGGGACCACCCGAUAAGCCUGAAUACUCCCUGGUGACCGAUAGCGGACUAGUACCGUGAGGGAAAGGUGAAAAGUACCCCGGGAGGGGAGUGAAAUAGUACCUGAAACCGUGCGCUUACAAUCCGUCAGAGCCUGCGCCACUUUGGUGGGUGGGUGAUGGCGUGCCUUUUGAAGAAUGAGCCUGCGAGUUAGCGGCAUGUCGCGAGGUUAACCCGUGUGGGGUAGCCGUAGCGAAAGCGAGUCCGAAUAGGGCGUUUGUAGUGGCAUGUUCUAGACCCGAAGCGGAGUGAUCUACCCAUGGCCAGGGUGAAGCGACGGUAAGACGUCGUGGAGGCCCGAACCCACUUAGGUUGAAAACUGAGGGGAUGAGCUGUGGGUAGGGGUGAAAGGCCAAUCAAACUCCGUGAUAGCUGGUUCUCCCCGAAAUGCAUUUAGGUGCAGCGUCGCGUGUUUCACUCUGGAGGUAGAGCUACUGGAUGGCCGAUGGGCCCCACAAGGUUACUGACGUCAGCCAAACUCCGAAUGCCAGAGUGUGAGAGCGCGGCAGUGAGACUGCGGGGGAUAAGCUUCGUAGUCGAGAGGGAAACAGCCCAGAUCGCCGGCUAAGGCCCCUAAGCGUGUACUAAGUGGAAAAGGAUGUGGGGUCGCGAAGACAACCAGGAGGUUGGCUUAGAAGCAGCCACCCUUGAAAGAGUGCGUAAUAGCUCACUGGUCAAGUGAUCCUGCGCCGACAAUGUAGCGGGGCUCAAGUACACCGCCGAAGCCGCGGCAUUCACAUAACACCCAUGCGGGUCUACGGGCCUGUGUGCAGUGGUGUGGAUGGGUAGGGGAGCGUCGUGCAGCCAUGGAAGCGCCGGAGUGAUCCAGGUGUGGAGGCUGCACGAGUGAGAAUGCAGGCAUGAGUAGCGAAAGACGAGUGAGAAACUCGUCCGCCGAAUGACCAAGGGUUCCUGGGCCAGGUUAAUCCGCCCAGGGUGAGUCGGGACCUAAGGCGAGGCCGACAGGCGUAGUCGAUGGACAACGGGUUGAUAUUCCCGUACCCGUGUGAACGCGCCCCUGGUGAAUCAGUGAUGCUAAGCGCCCUGAAGCCGCCUUCGAACCUUCGGGUUCUCCGGUGUGUGGAUGCGCGUGAACCGAUCUGGUAGUAGCCAAGCGAUGGGGUGACGCAGGAAGGUAGCUGAGCCAGUCAGUGGUAAUACUGGUGUAAGCGUGUAGGGCGUGACCUAGGCAAAUCCGGGUCACAUACAGCCUGAGACGUGAUGCGUAGCCGAUUGAGGCGAAUUCAGUGAUCCUAUGCUGCCGAGAAAAGCCUCUAGCGAGCUUUCACACGGCCCGUACCCCAAACCGACACAGGUGGUCAGGUAGAGAAUACUAAGGCGAUCGAGAUAACUGUGGUUAAGGAACUCGGCAAAAUGCCCCCGUAACUUCGGGAGAAGGGGGGCCUCGUCUGGUGACGGAACUUGCUUCCUGAGCUGGGUGGGGCCGCAGAGACCAGAGAGAAGCGACUGUUUACUAAAAACACAGGUCCGUGCGAAGUCGUAAGACGAUGUAUACGGACUGACGCCUGCCCGGUGCUGGAAGGUUAAGAGGACCGGUUAGCCAGUAAUGGCGAAGCUGAGAAUUUAAGCCCCAGUAAACGGCGGUGGUAACUAUAACCAUCCUAAGGUAGCGAAAUUCCUUGUCGGGUAAGUUCCGACCUGCACGAAUGGCGUAACGACUUCUCUGCUGUCUCAACCACAGACUCGGCGAAAUUGCAUUACGAGUAAAGAUGCUCGUUACGCGCGGCAGGACGAAAAGACCCCGGGACCUUCACUAUAGCUUGGUAUUGGUGUUCGGUUCGGUUUGUGUAGGAUAGGUGGGAGACUGUGAAGCGGGCACGCCAGUGUUCGUGGAGUCGUUGUUGAAAUACCACUCUGAUCGUAUUGGACAUCUAACCUCGGACCAUGAUCUGGUUCAGGGACAGUGCCUGGUGGGUAGUUUAACUGGGGCGGUUGCCUCCCAAAAUGUAACGGAGGCGCCCAAAGGUUCCCUCAGCCUGGUUGGCAAUCAGGUGUCGAGUGCAAGUGCACAAGGGAGCUUGACUGUGAGACUGACAGGUCGAGCAGGGACGAAAGUCGGGACUAGUGAUCCGGCACCGGCAAGUGGAAGCGGUGUCGCUCAACGGAUAAAAGGUACCCCGGGGAUAACAGGCUGAUCUUCCCCAAGAGUCCAUAUCGACGGGAUGGUUUGGCACCUCGAUGUCGGCUCGUCGCAUCCUGGGGCUGGAGUAGGUCCCAAGGGUUGGGCUGUUCGCCCAUUAAAGCGGCACGCGAGCUGGGUUUAGAACGUCGUGAGACAGUUCGGUCUCUAUCCGCCGCGCGCGUUAGAAACUUGAGGAAGGCUGUCCCUAGUACGAGAGGACCGGGACGGACGAACCUCUGGUGUGCCAGUUGUUCCGCCAGGAGCACUGCUGGUUAGCUACGUUCGGAAGGGAUAACCGCUGAAAGCAUCUAAGCGGGAAGCCUGUUCCAAGAUGAGGUUUCU